GUGAUUGCCGAAAGGCUAACUAGAUUCAUAAACACCUGUGAACUGUUAGAUUGACUCGAAAGAGUCAAUUUUAUUACAAACAUUGUGUAAUGAACGUCUUAGUAUUAUAACUAAAA
rnacentral:misc_RNA from 1 species